UACCAGCACCCCGAGUGGUCGGGACGAUUAUUGGGCCUAAAGCAUCCGUAGCCGGUCAUGCAAGUCCUCCGUUAAAUCCACCUGCUUAACAGAUGGGCUGCGGAGGAUACUACAAGGCUAGGAGGCGGAAGAGGCAAGCGGUACUCAGUGGGUAGGGGUAAAAUCCUCUGAUCCAUUGAAGACCACCAGUGGCGAAGGCGGCUUGCCAA
rnacentral:rRNA from 1 species